AAGAUGAUGGAAAGAAACGAUGAUGAUCUGAAUCACCGAACAAAUGAAAGAGUUAAUUGUCGAAGAAGUGGGAAAGGCAAUUGAGGGUAGUCUAUCCGGGUUCAUAGACAAAAUUCAAAACACGAUAUUAUCAUUAGUCGAGGAAAGAGUCAAAAGGUUGGAAGAUAGUGUCAACCUUAUGAAAGAGAAAUCGGGAGAACGUAAAGGAUGUUCGUACAAGGAGUUUAUGGCGUGCAAACCGCCAAUCUACAACGGGGAGGUUGACCCGAUAAUUUGCCAAAGAUGGCUAAGUGAAGUCGAAGGGGUGUUUGAAAGGACCCACUGUGACGUAAGUGAUUUUGUCGCUUACGGAACGGGUCAGUUGAGGGGUCAAGCCAAGGAUUGGUGGGAUAACAAAAAGAAGGAGAUAGGAGCCGAAGCUGUGAGGCUCAUGACAUAGGAUGAGUUUAAGGUGCCAUUACUUAAACAUCAUAGUCCCAAGGCAGUCAUCAACAGGAUUAAGGAAGAGUUCAUCCAGUUAAGACAGAAGGGUGAAACGAUUGAUAAAAUCACGGGUAUCUUUAUGGAUAAGCUGAGAUUCUGUGACGAGUUAGUCACCACUGAAGAACAGAAGAUAUAUUAUUAUUACAACAUGCUGAGCGCUGAAUACCAGGAGUUCAUGACUCCCUCAAAGUAUGAAACCCUCACGGAAAUUAUCAACACCACCCGGGAGCGGGAAAUCGAGCUGAAGAAACAAAUCGAGAAGGGUGAGCGAAGGGCACAAGAUGUGAAUCCAAGCCCUACAAAGAAGGCUCGAACAGCUGAAUCAGUAAAGAAAACGGAUGCAAAGGGUGGGUCGCCAAGUUGCAAAAUUUGUGGAAAGGGGCACAAGGGUGAGUGCCGUUUCAAGGACAAACCGUGUCCUAUAUGCGGGAAAACUGGGCACACGGCAUCUUUAUGUCCGGGAAAGGUCUCAGUUUGCUACAAAUGUUAUCAGCCCGACCACAAAAAGUCCGAAUGUCCAGACUUAGUUGGAAAAAGAGACACUAAAUAAUCCCCAAUAGAAGCUCCAAAGGCGAAGGCCAGGUCCUUCCAACUUACAGCGGCUGAAGUGAAAACAGAACCCGAUGUGGUCUCAGGAAAAGAUACCGGGACGGAAAGUGGACAAGUCGGAGGCGACUUGUGUUUGAAGGGCGUGCUUUAAAGGUGACGAUGGACCUAAUCCGGAUGGCGAUCAAGCACAAUUCCAAGAACCGAACACGAUCUUUUGAAGCUUCCGUGAUUACUUAAAUAUGUUCAAAACAAUGUCUAUGUAGUUAACACUUAAAUACUUAUUUUGGGAUUGUUAAACUAGCAGUACUUAUCUAAAAUUUAACUU